UUUAUUGAUGGACUCUGUAUCCCUGAUCAAGCAACAAAUCCAGAGAAUCUGUGCGACAUCUGCAACGUUGCCAUAAAUAGAUAUAGUUGGACAUAUAAUGAAGGACUCUGUCUCAUUGACGGAAAGUGCAUUGCCAGAGGAGAGAGGGACAAAUCGAAUUUUUGUAAAUUUUGCAAUCCUACAUCCAGCAAUACGUCUUGGUCUCUUUCUAAAGAGUCCUGCUUGAUUGAAAAUAGGUGUUACUUCAAGCGGGAAUCGAGACAAAAUAAUAAAUGCAAAAUAUGUAACCCAGACGAAGAUCAGUAUGGUUGGACGCUAA